CUGUAAAAAUCUUGGUGCAAGAAAUUUUUCAUUUUCGUUGGUUUUCAAGGUAGCCAAGUUUGGUGGUGAGACUUGGCUAGGUCGGUGCAUGGGGCCAAGAUUUGCGAAAUUUUCAAACUCUUGGUUUUUGAGAUUUGAUGGUUGGAAUGAACUCUUUAUAUCACCAAAUGGCUACUGUAAAAAUCUUGGUGCAAGAAAUUUUUCAUUUUGGUUAGCUUUCAAGGUAGCCAAGUUUGGUGGUGAGACAUUGCUAAGUUUGUGGUGCAUGGUGCCUGGGGUCAAAAUUUGUGAAAUUUUGAAAGUCAUGAAUUUUGAGACUUAUGGUUGGAAAACAAUUCAAAUAGUCCCAAAUUAGUGCUAUGAAGAUUUGGUUGUAAAACCAACCCAUCUUGAAGUAGUUUGAAAUUUUUAAAGUUUCGUUUUCUGAAAAUGUCAUAAAAAAAAAUUCCCGCGUGCGGAUUGAAUGAAAUUUGGAGGGAAUCUUACUUAUGCUAUUAUGGAGUGGACUGGAAAAAAUCAGCUCAAAACUCGACCUCUAGAUGCACUUUUCCAUUUUUCCCGAUUUUGCGGGUUUCAGGUUUUGGAAAAAAAAAAUACUUUCAGUUGGAGAAAAAUUAUGAAACUUGGUGAGGUAGGAGAUACCAUUUUUCUAAGGAUCCCUGCAAAAAAUCUCAUCCAAAUUCGUUGUGUAGCUCAAGAUAUGGACUUAUGUCUGCUCACAUAAAGUUUAUCUACUUGUA
rnacentral:lncRNA from 1 species